AUUGAACGCUGGCGGCGUGGAUUAGGCAUGCAAGUCGCGCGAGAAAUUUCCUUCGGGAAAUGGACAGCGGCGGAAGGGAGAGGAAUAAGUAGAAAUCUGCCCUCGGGACGGGGAUAGCGGUGGGAAACUGCCGGUAAUACCCGAUAACAUCUUUGGAUCAAAUGGUGUGAUUCCGCCUGAGGAUGAGUCUACUUCCUAUUAGCUAGUUGGUGGGGUAAUGGCCUACCAAGGCAACGAUGGGUAGCGGGUGUGAGAGCACGACCCGCCUCACUGGGACUGAGACACUGCCCAGACACCUACGGGUGGCUGCAGUCGAGAAUCUUCGGCAAUGGGGGAAACCCUGACCGAGCGACGCCGCGUGCGGGAUGAAGGCCCUUGGGUUGUAAACCGCUGUCGUAAGGGAACAAAUCCAUAGGGGUACUCCCCUAUGGUUGAGUGAUCUUAGGAGGAAGGACGGGCUAAGUUCGUG
rnacentral:rRNA from 1 species